rnacentral:tRNA from 1 species
GAGCAGCCGCCGGUGGAACGGACAUCAUUGAUGUUGAUGGUCAGGGACAAUGUCCGCUGCUUU